AUACGGAGGAUGCGAGCGUUAUCCGGAUUUAUUGGGUUUAAAGGGAGCGUAGGUGGGAUAUUAAGUCAGCUGUGAAAGUUUGGGGCUCAACCUUAAAAUUGCAGUUGAUACUGGUUUCCUUGAGUACGGUACAGGUGGGCGGAAUUCGUGGUGUAGCGGUGAAAUGCUUAGAUAUCACGAAGAACUCCGAUCGCGAAGGCAGCUCACCGGGCCGGAACUGACACUGAUGCUCGAAAGUGCGGGUAUCAAACAGGAUUAGAUACCCUGGUAGUCCGCACAGUAAACGAUGAAUACUCGCUGUUUGCGAUAUACAGUAAGCGGCCAAGCGAAAGCAUUAAGUAUUCCGCCUGGGGAGUACGCCGGCAACGGUGAAACUCAAAUGAAUUGACGGGG
rnacentral:rRNA from 1 species